rnacentral:rRNA from 1 species
GAUGAACGCUGGCGGCGUGCCUAAUACAUGCAAGUCGAGCGAACGGACGAGAAGCUUGCUUCUCUGAUGUUAGCGGCGGACGGGUGAGUAACACGUGGAUAACCUACCUAUAAGACUGGGAUAACUUCGGGAAACCGGAGCUAAUACCGGAUAAUAUUUUGAACCGCAUGGUUCAAAAGUGAAAGACGGUCUUGCUGUCACUUAUAGAUGGAUCCGCGCUGCAUUAGCUAGUUGGUAAGGUAACGGCUUACCAAGGCAACGAUGCAUAGCCGACCUGAGAGGGGGAUCGGCCAAACUGGAAGUGAGACACGGACCAGACGACUACGGGAGGCAGCAGUAGGGAAGCUUAGGCAAUGGGGGAAAGCAUGACGGAGCAAGGCCGAGUGAGUGAUGAAGGUCUUCGGAUCGUAAAACUCUGUUAUUAGGGAAGAACAUAUGUGUAAGUAACUGUGCACAUCGUGACGGUACCUAAUCAGAAAGCCACGGCUAACUACGUG